rnacentral:rRNA from 1 species
GGGUUGUGAGGUUAAGCGACUAAGCGUACACGGUGGAUGCCCUGGCAGUCAGAGGCGAUGAAGGACGUGCUAAUCUGCGAAAAGCGUCGGUAAGGUGAUAUGAACCGUUAUAACCGGCGAUGUCCGAAUGGGGAAACCCAGUGCAAUUCGUUGCACUAUCGUUAACUGAAUACAUAGGUUAACGAGGCGAACCGGGGGAACUGAAACAUCUAAGUACCCCGAGGAAAAGAAAUCAACCGAGAUUCCCCCAGUAGCGGCGAGCGAACGGGGAGCAGCCCAGAGUCUGAAUCAGCUUGUGUGUUAGUGGAACGGUCUGGAAAGUCCGACGGUACAGGGUGAUAGUCCCGUACACCAAAAUGCACAGGCUGUGAACUCGAAGAGUAGGGCGGGACACGUGGUAUCCUGUCUGAAUAUGGGGGGACCAUCCUCCAAGGCUAAAUACUCCUGACUGACCGAUAGUGAACCAGUACCGUGAGGGAAAGGCGAAAAGAACCCCGGCGAGGGGAGUGAAAAAGAACCUGAAACCGUGUACGUACAAGCAGUGGGAGCACCUUCGGGUGUGACUGCGUACCUUUUGUAUAAUGGGUCAGCGACUUAUAUUCUGUAGCAAGGUUAACCGUAUAGGGGAGCCGCAGGGAAACCGAGUCUUAACUGGGCGUUAAGUUGCAGGGUAUAGACCCGAAACCCGGUGAUCUAGCCAUGGGCAGGUUGAAGGUUGGGUAACACUAACUGGAGGACCGAACCGACUAAUGUUGAAAAAUUAGCGGAUGACUUGUGGCUGGGGGUGAAAGGCCAAUCAAACCGGGAGAUAGCUGGUUCUCCCCGAAAGCUAUUUAGGUAGCGCCUCGUGAAUUCAUCUUCGGGGGUAGAGCACUGUUUCGGCUAGGGGGUCAUCCCGACUUACCAACCCGAUGCAAACUACGAAUACCGAAGAAUGUUAUCACGGGAGACACACGGCGGGUGCUAACGUCCGUCGUGAAGAGGGAAACAACCCAGACCGCCAGCUAAGGUCCCAAAGUCAUGGUUAAGUGGGAAACGAUGUGGGAAGGCACAGACAGCCAGGAUGUUGGCUUAGAAGCAGCCAUCAUUUAAAGAAAGCGUAAUAGCUCACUGGUCGAGUCGGCCUGCGCGGAAGAUGUAACGGGGCUAAACCAUGCACCGAAGCUGCGGCAGCGACACUAUGUGUUGUUGGGUAGGGGAGCGUUCUGUAAGCCUGCGAAGGUGACCUGUGAGGGUUGCUGGAGGUAUCAGAAGUGCGAAUGCUGACAUAAGUAACGAUAAAGCGGGUGAAAAGCCCGCUCGCCGGAAGACCAAGGGUUCCUGUCCAACGUUAAUCGGGGCAGGGUGAGUCGACCCCUAAGGCGAGGCCGAAAGGCGUAGUCGAUGGGAAACAGGUUAAUAUUCCUGUACUUGGUGUUACUGCGAAGGGGGGACGGAGAAGGCUAUGUUAGCCGGGCGACGGUUGUCCCGGUUUAAGCAUGUAGGCUGGUUGUCCAGGCAAAUCCGGAUAAUCAAGGCUGAGGUGUGAUGACGAGGCACUACGGUGCUGAAGUAACAAAUGCCCUGCUUCCAGGAAAAGCCUCUAAGCAUCAGGUAACAUCAAAUCGUACCCCAAACCGACACAGGUGGUCAGGUAGAGAAUACCAAGGCGCUUGAGAGAACUCGGGUGAAGGAACUAGGCAAAAUGGUGCCGUAACUUCGGGAGAAGGCACGCUGGUGUGUAGGUGAAGUCCCUGCGGAUGGAGCUGAGACCAGUCGAAGAUACCAGCUGGCUGCAACUGUUUAUUAAAAACACAGCACUGUGCAAACACGAAAGUGGACGUAUACGGUGUGACGCCUGCCCGGUGCCGGAAGGUUAAUUGAUGGGGUUAUCCGUAAGGAGAAGCUCUUGAUCGAAGCCCCGGUAAACGGCGGCCGUAACUAUAACGGUCCUAAGGUAGCGAAAUUCCUUGUCGGGUAAGUUCCGACCUGCACGAAUGGCGUAAUGAUGGCCAGGCUGUCUCCACCCGAGACUCAGUGAAAUUGAACUCGCUGUGAAGAUGCAGUGUACCCGCGGCAAGACGGAAAGACCCCGUGAACCUUUACUAUAGCUUGACACUGAACAUUGAGCCUUGAUGUGUAGGAUAGGUGGGAGGCUUUGAAGCGUGGACGCCAGUCUGCGUGGAGCCAACCUUGAAAUACCACCCUUUAAUGUUUGAUGUUCUAACGUUGGCCCCUGACCGGGGUUGCGGACAGUGUCUGGUGGGUAGUUUGACUGGGGCGGUCUCCUCCCAAAGCGUAACGGAGGAGCACGAAGGUUAGCUAAUCCUGGUCGGACAUCAGGAGGUUAGUGCAAUGGCAUAAGCUAGCUUGACUGCGAGCGUGACGGCGCGAGCAGGUGCGAAAGCAGGUCAUAGUGAUCCGGUGGUUCUGAAUGGAAGGGCCAUCGCUCAACGGAUAAAAGGUACUCCGGGGAUAACAGGCUGAUACCGCCCAAGAGUUCAUAUCGACGGCGGUGUUUGGCACCUCGAUGUCGGCUCAUCACAUCCUGGGGCUGAAGUAGGUCCCAAGGGUAUGGCUGUUCGCCAUUUAAAGUGGUACGCGAGCUGGGUUUAGAACGUCGUGAGACAGUUCGGUCCCUAUCUGCCGUGGGCGCUGGAGAAUUGAGGGGGGCUGCUUCUAGUACGAGAGGACCGGAGUGGACGCAUCACUGGUGUUCGGGUUGUCAUGCCAAUGGCACUGCCCGGUAGCUAAAUGCGGAAGAGAUAAGUGCUGAAAGCAUCUAAGCACGAAACUUGCCCCGAGAUGAGUUCUCCCUGAGACUUUAAGUCUCCUGAAGGAACGUUAAAGACGAUGACGUUGAUAGGCCGGGUGUGUAAGCGCAGCGAUGCGUUGAGCUAACCGGUACUAAUGAACCGUGAGGCUUAACCUUACAACGCCGAAG